AGGAUGAACGCUGGCGGCGUGCUUAAGACAUGCAAGUCGAACGCAGACCCGGUAGCAAUACUGGGACUGAGUGGCGAAUGGGUGCGUAACACGUAGGUGACCUGCCCUGAAGUGGGGAAUAACAGUCCGAAAGGACUGCUAAUACCGCAUGCGGUUCGGCCGGUUAGAGGCGGCUCAACCAAAGGUCGCAAGAUCGCUUCAGGAGGGCCUGCGCCCAUCAGCUAGGUUGGUAGGGUAACGCCUACCAAGGCGACGACGGGUAGGGACCUGAGAGGGUCGGCCCCCACACUGGCACUGACACGACGGGCCAGACUCCUACGGGAGCAGCAGUCGGGAAUACGUGACCCAAUGGAACGAAAGUCGUGAGGCAGCAACGCCGCGU
rnacentral:rRNA from 1 species